rnacentral:rRNA from 1 species
CCUACGGGAGGCAGCAGUGAGGAAUAUUGGUCAAUGGGCGGGAGCCUGAACCAGCCAAGUCGCGUGAGGGAAGACGGUCCUAUGGAUUGUAAACCUCUUUAGGCGGGGAGCAAUGCCGGGCACGCGUGCCCGGAGGGAGAGUACCCGCAGAAUAAGCAUCGGCUAACUCCGUGCCAGCAGCCGCGGUAAUACGGAGUAUGCGAGCGUUAUCCGGAUUUAUUGGGUUUAAGGGGUGCGGAGGCGGAUUUUUAAGUCAGCGGUAAAAUGGCCGGGCUCAACCCGGGCCGGCGGUUGAAACUGGGGGUCUAGAGUGAGCGAGAGGGAUGCGGAAUGCGUGGUGGAGCGGUGAAAUGCAUAGAUAUCGCGCAGAAC